rnacentral:rRNA from 1 species
GACGUAGGGCGCGAGCGUUGUCCGGAUUUAUUGGACGUAAAGAGCUCGUAGGCGGCUUGUCGCGUCGAAUGUGAAAACUCGGGGCUCAACUCCGAGCUUGCAUUCGAUACGGGCAGGCUAGAGUUCGGUAGGGGAGACUGGAAUUCCUGGUGUAGCGGUGAAAUGCGCAGAUAUCAGGAGGAACACCGGUGGCGAAGGCGGGUCUCUGGGCCGAUACUGACGCUGAGGAGCGAAAGCGUGGGGAGCGAACAGG